rnacentral:rRNA from 1 species
GGGGAAUCUUCCGCAAUGGACGAAAGUCUGACGGAGCAACGCCGCGUGAGUGAUGACGGCCUUCGGGUUGUAAAGCUCUGUUAAUCGGGACGAAUGGUUCUUGUGCAAAUAGUGCGAGGAUUUGACGGUACCGGAAUAGAAAGCCACGGCUAACUACGUGCCAGCAGCCGCGGUAAUACGUAGGUGGCAAGCGUUGUCCGGAAUUAUUGGGCGUAAAGCGCGCGCAGGCGGCCUAUCCAGUCUGUCUUAAAAGUUCGGGGCUUAACCCCGUGAUGGGAUGGAAACUAGUAGGCUAGAGUAUCGGAGAGGAAAGCGGAAUUCCUAGUGUAGCGGUGAAAUGCGUAGAUAUUAGGAAGAACACCAGUGGCGAAGGCGGCUUUCUGGACGAAAACUGACGCUGAGGCGCGAAAGCCAGGGGAGCGAACGGGAUUAGAUACCCCGGUAGUCCUGGCCGUAAACGAUGGGUACUAGGUGUAGGAGGUAUCGACCCCUUCUGUGCCGGAGUUAACGCAAUAAGUACCCCGCCUGGGGAGUACGGUCGCAAGGCUG